UAGGGAAUCUUCCGCAAUGGACGCAAGUCUGACGGAGCAACGCCGCGUGAGUGAAGAAGGAUUUCGGUUCGUAAAACUCUGUUGUUAGAGAAGAACAGCGCAUAGAGUAACUGUUAUGCGUGUGACGGUAUCUAACCAGAAAGCCACGGCUAACUACGUGCCAGCAGCCGCGGUAAUACGUAGGUGGCAAGCGUUGUCCGGAUUUAUUGGGCGUAAAGCGAGCGCAGGCGGUCAAUUAAGUCUGAUGUGAAAGCCCCCGGCUCAACCGGGGAGGGUCAUUGGAAACUGGUUGACUUGAGUGCAGAAGAGGAGAGUGGAAUUCCAUGUGUAGCGGUGAAAUGCGUAGAUAUAUGGAGGAACACCAGUGGCGAAGGCGACUCUCUGGUCUGUAACUGACGCUGAGGCUCGAAAGCGUGGGUAACAAACAGG
rnacentral:rRNA from 1 species